AGAGUUAGUUCAAUCUCUCUCCCUUAUUGUAGCCUUGAAUAAAGGCUUUGCCUUUCAAACUCUGUCCUGCCCAUUUUUCUUUGACAUGUUCAGAUGUUGGCAAGGCUGAAAACUGCAGGGGAUCUGGUUGUGAUAAUCCAGGAUUGAAAAUCUCCAACUGAAGGGCUUGGAGCAAGUUAACCCCGAGUCUUCACGGGAAAAAGAUAUCUACCUCCUAAUCCUGGAACUUGGGAAUGUUACUUCAUAGAGCAAAGACUUUGCAGAGCUGAGUUAAGGUCUUUGAGAUGAGAUUAUUUUGAGUUAUCUUGGGGUUGUUUGUGGUUUGCUAAAUGCAAUCAGAAGUGUCCUCAGGGGGAGGCAGAGGAGAUUUGAGACACAGAAAAGGAGAAGACCACACGACCGUGGAGGCAGAGAUUGGAGUGAUGUGGCCACAAACCAAGGAAUGCUGCAGCCACCAGAAGUGGGGAGUGGCAGGAAGGACCCUCCCCUAGACCUCUAGAUGGAACGUGGCCCUGCCAACGUCUUGGUUUUGACUCAGUUAGACUGAUUUUGGACUUCUGUCCUCCAGAACUGUGGGAGAAUAAAUUUCUAGCCUCCAUGUUUGCAAUACUUUGUUACCGUGGCAUUACUAAUUUAUUAUAGUAGGUAUAAUAUCCCCACUUACAGAUGAGGACUCUGAGGCACAAACCAACAGCUACGCAAAUCGUAGAGUCAGGACGUGGGCCCAGGUGGUCUGACCUUGGAGCUGCGACCCUGAACCCACACUCAAAACUGCUGCUUCCCAGCUAACUUAGUGACUCAGGGUGGGUGGUCAGCAGGUAUGUUUCACCUGAAGGAUCUUACUUCGAAGAAGAUACGAAUUCUGAGAAAAGGUGGCCUCUGAGGAUAGAGUUAAGUUGAAUCGAAGUGUGGUGGGUGGGAUUAUUCAGAUGUAGGUGGAAGCCAGAGGGAUGCCUCCUGUGUGGCCAAGGAGAAGAAGAACUGCCCUUGUCCAUGACUUAAAGGUCAUCUUGGGGGCUGCAAUGGGAUUGUUACCUGGGGGAGGCUGUGGUCACUGAAGAAGGGAUGGUCAACUUGGGUUGUUGAGAAGGGGAGCCAGGGAAUAAGAAAUUGCUGGCUGACAAAGGGAAUGGGCAUCUAUGCAGUCACCACAAGCCUCAUGGCGACCCAGGACAGACAGCAAUUCACCUACCACCCUCGCCUGGCCACCAUCCAGAGCCCCUCCGAGUGUUCCCAGCCUCUCCUGGAGUCUCAGAACCAAUCAUCUGGAGGUCUUUGGGCUUCCAGUCAGCAUUGACAGAUGCUCUGAUACAGCGCUGUUGUAAAUUUAAUUCACACAGAGGCGGUCUGGGUUGGUAUCAAUCCUUUUUGUGUUGGGGUCAUGUGAACUGACCUGAGAAUCAAAUCAAGUUUUUGUCCUGCAAAGUGGAUGUACCAGACCCCCAAACUGCAGAAGGACGCCAGGAGAGGCUCCUGCUGAUGCUUCCUGGAAGGCGUCUGGCCUGUUCUUUCCUAAAACAGCCUCGGGGUGCAGCCUCCCUUUAAUAUUAAUAGUAACACAGCUGCAGCAGCAUCGAGCCUUACAUUGCGCCGGCUGGACACCGCUCCAGGAGCUUCCAGCAUCUAUGCCUUCAGCCCUCACACCAGCCCUGGGAGGUUGAUAAUAUUAUUCCUCCCCUUUUACAGAUGAGGAACUGAGAGGCCUAGAGAUAUGUGAACUUUGCCAAGAUCAUUGGCUAAUAUGGGGCAUGGUUGGGAUUCGCAGGCUGGAUCUCUGGUGCCAAGGCCUGCUGUCACCCUCUGCUGCUUCCCCCCAGCCGUUCACAUUGCCAGCAUCACAUGAGUGUUAGAGUCAUGGACUCUGGAGAGGAAAGGACCUGGGUUCUAACAGUGAGCCUGGCAAGCUACUUCUCUGUGUUUCUACUUCCUCCUCUGUGACUCGGGGACAGUCCCAGUGGUGUUCUGGGGUAGCUGUGAGGGCAAACUGAAGCUGACACAAAGGGCUUGGUCUUGUGCGGGGCGCCCUCGGGGGAGCCGUUGCAGAGUCAGGCUAUGGGUGUGUUAAUGGCUCACUGGGGUCAUGGCCCUGUGUGUCCUCCCUGAUGUGACUCACACGGUCCCCUGGAAUGUUUCAGAAACAUCCGACUCAGCAGAGCCUAGGGGAACAAUGUUUUGAUGCUGCAACUGUGACAGGGGACAGAUGGGGAGAACGGAUGAGGCGAACGCAGGGCUUCCACAUGCCCUUGCUGCUGCAAUGAUCCUUUCACUAUUUUGUGAAAACAGAAGCGAUGAAUUACUCAUGAGAAUGAACUGCUUUAAAAACACCAGGCUUUCAUUUAAAGAGUCAUUUAUGCUUCCACCUGGCAAAUUUUUACUGUUUCAAGACCCCACUCAUACGUCUCCUCUCGUUCAUCCAGUGUGACUUUCCCAGUAGAAUUAAUCACCUCACUAGGUCUGUGCGAGGCACAUGCACUGGUAAAAAUGCCUUUGGGAGCCUAACACGGGCCCUGACGGCUCUGCCAUCUCCACUAAACUCUAAGCUCCUUGGUGUCAGGAUAGGUAAAAGUUGGUCAAUAGACACACAGAAUGCUUCCUUGGGCCCAGCUUGGUGCUAAACCCUUUAAGAGCAUCACUACAUUUAUUUUUGUGACUCAUGACAACCUGAUGAAGUGGGUAUCAUCCUUGUUUUAAGGUUGAGGUAACCAAGAAUCAGAGAGGCUUAGCAACUUGUCAAAAGCGGCCCAGUUAAUAAGAGACAGAGCUGGAAUGUAGCACCAGCAUGCUGGAUUCCAGGGGCUGGGCUUCUCGGUACACAGUGUUUUUCAUGCCUAAGGCUGGGGUGGUGUGCUCUGCACCCCCAGGGCCGAGUAGAGUGCCUGGACGCAGACGGUGCCCGGUAAAGGUUUAUUACAUCUUUUCUCCUUCUGUUGGAACAAUCAUGGGGAUGGAAAAAGC
ensembl:lncRNA CEDORA CDH13 antisense oligodendrocyte and neuron associated lncRNA